UUGGGCAGCCAAGGGUCCCCGUCUCCUACAAACCUGCACACCUGGGGAAGGCAGCAGCUCUGGGGUCUGCAGGGGGGCACCUCAUGGUUCCCAACUCUCCUAGAAGCAAAAAGGGAUUCAAAGAGGCCCACUUGAUCACCUGUCAGGCUGCAUAGCAGUGAGGCUUCCUCCUUUACACCGAUGUCGGGGAAAAGAAAACUACCUGGCAAGUUAGGAUACAGCAGGAACGGUCUCCAAGACAGCCAUUGAAAAUGCCCCCAAAUGCUGGAGACCUCAGCUCCUGCACAAAGACAAAACCAUAGAGGAAAGCACUCAGAAAGGAGCAGGAUGAGGGAAUGCAAAGAAAAGGCAAAUGAGGGAAGCGUUGAAAGCCUUGAUACAAUGGCCACAAAGAAGAGCUCUUCACAAUCGAAGCUUGUUAUGUUUGCUUUGCCAUCAUCCACCAUAAAGUCUGGAAUACAACCUUCUUCCCUUUUCAGUAAACAUCUACUGAGUAAAUCACACGAAGGUAUCUGCUUUCUCAGGAAUUUUACUAAACUACGGUUUGAUGGUAAACUCAACUUCAGAGGGCUUCAACUGUAGCUUGAACCAGGUUUCUUCAUGAGAAGAUAUGGGUGAGAGAGAGGGGAACCACAAAAAACCUGCAUCAUAAUUCAGGUCAAAGCCCUAGGACCAAUUGUAAAAGCUAGGCCCAGAUUUUCCUUCAGCUGGGACCUGGAAUUGGUCUUGAUCUGUUUAUUGUAGGAGACACGUUCCAUUGUAGGUCCCAGAGCAGUGCAGGCACAGAGUUGUAGAAAACCCACAGCAGUCUCAGACUUUUAGAGAAACUGCUCCAGCUUUAGGGUUCAUGUCCUAAAAAAAAAAACAAAAAGAAAAAACACCAGUCCCAGUGCUCAUCUACUUGUUUCUCUCCUUUGUCUUCAGAUUUUCUUAUCCUUCCUUCAUGCUUUAGUUGGCUUUCUGCUGACUUACUUAAUAGAUACAUGAAAACACUUGAGAACUCUUUAUCUAAAUUCAUUGAUGAAAAUCACUUUACUUGGCAAAUAUUUAUUGAGCUUUAUCUUAUAUUGAACUCCUAGUAGUGUUGAGAACUCAAAUUCAAUUGAGAAUUUGUUUUCCCCCACUGAGAAUGUCACUGUUGAGAAGGGAAGGGCGGACUGUGGGAAAGGAGGCUGGAGUCAGUCAGGGAGCAGAGUGUACUUUAAGGAGUCAUCCUAUGGGAAUUUGCAAAUCACAGUGGGGUUCGAGAAGGUCACAGUGGGUAACUUCUUUCUAUUCCCAGUUGGAGAAUAAAGAGCCAGAUGGUCAGGAUGAUGAACAGGGAACUCCCCUUUAGAUGUCAUUCUUCUCAUGGCAAGUGAUGGCAGUGGUAGAGGCAGAGGCUGGGGCAUCUGAGAAAGUGGGAAAAUGAGAUUUCCACAUGGUUUUCGAAGGAGGGUGAUCCUGGUUGAACCAGUUGCCUCUAGGGUGGCAAAACGGUGCCCUGUCCCUUGCCUUCUAUUCUCACAUUGCCCUGUUGACAAAAAUGGCCAAACUCCAUAAAAUAGUUGAAGAGAUUUAUUCUGAACCAAAUAGGAGUAACCAUGGCCCAUGACACAGCCCUCAGGAGGUCCUAAGAACAUGUGACCAAGGUGGUCAGGGUACAGCUGGGUUUUAUAUAUUUUUAAGGAGGCAUGAGACAUCAAUCAAAUACAUUUAAGAAAUACAUUGGUUUGGUUCAGAAAGUUGGGACAACUCAAAGCAGGGGCUUCUAGGCUAUAGGUAAAUUUAAAUAUUUUCUGGUUGACAAUUGGUUGAGUUUAUCUGAAGACCUGGGAUCAAUGGAAAGGAAUGUUCAGGUUAAGGUAAAGGAUCGUGGAGACCAAGUUUUAUUGUGCAGAGGAAUCUUGCAGGUAGCAGACUUCAGAGAUAGAGAGCAGAUUGUAAAAUGUUUUUUUAUCAGACCUAAAAGGGUGCCUGGCUCUUAGUUGAUUAUCUCCUGGAUCUUGAAAGAAAGGAAGGAAAACAAAGGGGAAAGGGGAUUUUCUAUAGAAUGUGGAUUUUUUCCCACAAGAGACUUUGCAGGGCAAUUUCAAGGUAUAGCAAGAAAAUAUAUUUUGGGGUAAAAUACUUUGAUUUUCUUCCUUGUUACACCAGAGUCAAAUUGGAAAGUAAGUCAUGAUAUACAGGGUCAAAUAAAACCCAUCUGAUGAGAUUUAUGGCUUAUAGGGCAUGACUCCUCAGACCCCUUAGGAUAGGAAUUUGGGCAAGGUAAAAAAAAAAAUGAGAGCUUUGUCUUCAGUCCCUUUGGCCAUUCAGGCUCCAAUCAUCCCUUUCUGUCUAAAAAUUAUAUUAGAUGAAUAAAAUAAGAGGCAAGCAGACAAACUAGGAAGAAGGAAAUGGGGGAGACAGAGAAGUCAUUUUUUUUCAGAUGUCUAGAAAGACAAUGUAAAGGUAUGAUGACCAUAAAAAGAGAGCAACACAGAAAAAGAAAACUAAAGAUGCAGCAGGAAAAAAAGCAAUGCAGGGAAAUGUGAUUUGAUGGCAGAGGCCCAAAAAGGGAGGCUCCCGGACAGAUGGAGGAAGAAGUACAGACAUGAAGGUGGUGGUAGUGUCGGCCAUGCCAGGCCACUCUCUUCCCCUGAAGGCAGUGCCUGGGGCAGCUUUAUUCCUUGGUUCCUAGAAAGGGACAUGAAAUGUGAUUUGACAGAGAAGGUACAUCCAGAGAACAUAUAGGGGGCAGAUGAGGAAGCUGUCACAAGAGCAUGAAGGAUCUGAAGGUCCAAAGUAUGCCCACCACUUCCUCACUUCACCUGAACCCCAACCUAUUUCUGUACCUUCACCCCAGCGGUAGAUGAAUCAUGGGCCUGACCCAACUGAGCUGAAGGGAAUAAAGAGAAGAAAGAAAGGUGAUAUGCUGGGGGCUCAGACUGUGGCAUGCUGUGUCCGAGCCUCCACUUCCCUUCCUUAUCACAGUCUAAUUUGAUUUCAUUAACACUGCCCCUUAUCUGGGGGCAGCAUUUGGGAAGCUGACAACCAGAAACUCAUCCUUUCCUCUUAGGUGUGGUUGCUGGGAGGGGUUGGGGUGGGGGAAGUAACAGAAAGCAUCAAGAAUAUGCCUGUUGGAUCAGGGUUCAUGCCCUUGUUAACACACUCAAGACUAUUAAACAAAUGUAAGAAUCCCUCCCUGUCACCAAGAUAAAGCUCAAGCUCUUUAUAUACAUGUCAUGCAUAACAAGAUAUAUAAAAAGGUUUCUUGUUUUGUUUUCAUUGUGGUUUAACAAGCCAAGAAAGAAAAAUAGAUGGAAAAUUUCUCCUAUCUUUUAAAGUAAGGAACUUGACUUAGAAAGGAGGCAGCCAUUAAUACCAAUUUUGUGAACCUUAGUUCAGCACUGAUAUGAAUGGUCUAAAAAUGUUGGAAGUCUGGAAAAGAAAAAAGACUUUUCUGGAGAAAUGUCUUGAAGUGGGGGAGCAUUUUUGGUAUUCCUUGCUGGGAGAGAGGAGUGUGUCCCCCAUGAACUCACACUGAAGAAUGGCCACAAAGAAUGCUGGUGGAUCUGUCCCUUGAAUUUUGCUGGGCACGAUGCCUUGAUAUCUGACCCCAGGGGAAGAAGUGGAGGCUCAGGCUGAGGCUGCCAGGCAGAGAAAGACUUGGUUUCCAUGGGGGCUGGCCGUGCCUCUAUGGAAAGGGAGUAGAGCCGGUGUGAUUUGCUAUGUGGCACUGACCAGACCUGCCACUCAAGGGGAAGCCCUGUCCAGGAGCCGUUUUUAAAUCCCAUCCAGGAGAGUUUCUAGGAAGCAAGUGUUGCGGGUAGGGAGGGAGGAGUGUUUGACUGUAAAAGAAGAGGCAAUUGCUGACCUUGGGAUGUGAUUUACCCACGGCUGGGAGGGUGCAGUUAGACGUGGUCAGGGCACCAAUCUGAGGUAUACUUAGCGCCCUGGUAAGGGUCAGCCCUGAGCAUGUACCACAGCCAGAUCAGGGGCAAACUAAUCCACUUCCCCAUUCCUCAAUGCUGGGGUCCACAGUAAGGCCAGCAGGGAUGAGGAGAAAGAAGCAAAGCUCAAAACUGCAAACCACACCCUCAUCUCCCACUGUGAGUACCCGCCUUAGCCACUACUCAAGAGAGGGAAAACGCUCUAAAUGAAGUUCACAGUGUUGACUCUUGCACAGGACUUGGUAUUCUAGUUACUGAAAUAGAUCUGUCUUAUGACUAAACUGACUCCAGGACUCGUUAUUACCUGAAAGUUUCUGGAAAAAGUCUGGAACUGGCCCAGAAUUUCACCCAAAGGAGGGAAGGCAAGAAAUUGCAUCACAGGGAAGAUUUUACCUCCUCAGUUCUUCUUGGAGACUCGGUGGGGGGCAUUUGUGUCUUGUAAGUGGUCAGUGGAAAUUUCCUUUAUCACUUGCCCUGGGCUUUAGUCUCACAGCAGCAUGUGUUAAGGAAACACUUGGAGUUUUCUGAAAGGCUACUUUUUUCUCUGUGUUGACCUAGCCACGUAUUUAUGGCUCUGCUAAAAUAGACAUCUUGCCACCGUUCUUCUCACUCCUUUGGAAUGAGAUCCUCUGGAAUGCGCCCUAGGCUUGACUUUCUUCUGAAAGUCUUCCGGAAUUUCCCCUGGGCCAGGAGAGACUCACUCCAAAGACUCCCCUGUGGCACCCCUGAUUAUCUCUGUGGUUGGGAACUCAUCACUUCCUUGUCUUUGGUUUCUCCCAAAACGCUGUAAAUUCCUUGAGAGCAGGGACUCUACCUAUGCACUCAUCCAUUCCCAGGGGUUAGAAAACACGGCUUAUUGUAGAUGCUCAGUUAAUGUUUGUUGAAUCAAUGCAUGAAGGCCCCAGGGGGAGAUGGCUUCAGGGUGGCUGGGCCCCAGGAGAUGGCUUUAGGGAAGCUACACCCUGGGGGUCUAGGAUCCUGGCUUCCAGUGCCCAUCACCAGUGAACUGUGCCUAUUAUAGACAUUAGAACAGUAGUGUUCACUGUGAUCAAAGACCAGAGUGUGUAUAGUCUCUGAAACAUUUGGCAAGAGGAACAGAAAAAAGAGGGUGCCCUCAAAUAAGUAAGUGAUGAUAAAUUUUGCUUAUGCCAAAAGGGAUGGGAACUCAGAGGCAGAUUUUAUUUUUUUUAAAAAGGGAAGAAAAAAGAAGUAAAUAAUGUUGCAUCACUUGAAUCUGUGUAUUUUUGUGGAGUAAGAAUUUUAACUGCUAAACCUGCUAUACUUGCAAUGUCUUUAGUGAGUGGUUGUACUCAGAGUUUUUCUAAAAAUGUCUUUUCAGCUCUGCUGAAGAGACUUAAUACAAAUUAAAGCUCUGUUGGCCUCAGGGAUCUCAGAAAUCCUCUGUGACUACUUACUAAGUCAGGACCAUGGAGGGGGAUCCAGUAAGCAGGAAAUCACGUCAGAGACAAGCUAUGAAAAUUUGGGCGAGGACCUGACAUAGAACUAAAAGAUGCCUUUCGUAGGUGCGUUAAAAAAAAUUAACUCAUUUGUAAACAUUCAUUGAAGCAAUAAUGUAGUAAGUUCAGGAAAAAUUUCUAGUAAGCAAAACAUGGCUCAUGGGCAACAUUUGGAGGAAACAACGAUGAUUAUGGUCAUUAUUAGACAUCCAAACGGCAAGACAAUGGCUAAACUUAGUACAAACCCAAGUCCCCGAGGGCAGUAGUAACAACAGAAUGCCUCCAAUGAGUGUUUCAAUAGGCUUUGCAAAAUACUGAGUGUCAUCGUAUGUAUGUGAGGCCCUUAAUAAAUAUCCUUUAGUGGUAGGGGAAAUGGGCCAGAAAUGUUCAGCAGCAUUAAGAAGAGUAUUCGUUCAUUUUGAGAUGACUUCUCAAAGCUGCAAACUAGCCAGUUGUGAGCUUGCAUUUGAGUGCAUGUGAUCCUGCUCUUUUGGUGAAAAAUUGUAGCCCUGUUUUGUUAAAUUGCAGUCUCCAGGGUUUCGGUUCCUACUAUGAACCUAGAGAACAGGCCAGAAGCAUGUUGCACAAGGCUUCCAUUUUCACUGUCCAGUGACUGGUAUCCAAAUUCCCAGAUUUUCGCAGUAAACUUCACUCAGUCUUGUUAUAAUUGUUAUCUGUAAACAUUUUUAUUCAGAAUGUUCUUAAAUGAACUCAGGGAAAGCUGUGCAUUAAAUAGACAUUUAACAGAUGGUCAAGAGAGUAGUAUUCUGAAAUUUGGUAAAACUGCACUAAUGAUAUUUAUAUACUACACUGGUGAAAACAAAACAAACCAAAUUAAAAUCCAAUAUUCGUAUAUUUUAAAUUAUCAUUACUGUCCAUAAAACUAUUUGAAAUAAUAAUUUCUUGUUAGUUUUAAAAAUCAAAAAAUAUUAUUUUAUAUAAAUCCUCCAAAUCCCAAAUCUUCAAAAUCCAACAGGUUAUAUAUUGAAAAGAGUUACAAUUUCUUUAAGUUAUUAAGAAAUUGAGAUAUCUCAUGAAUAAUAUAAUUUAAAAAUCUAUUGGCUAGUAAGUACUGGCAAAGUGAAUAUUUAACCAAUCUUCUGAAAAAAAUUAAAUAAUACAAGCACUUAAGAGUCUAAGAUUCUAAGACAAUGAAUCAUUUUGAAUUGGCCAAAUGCAUCAUAAUUUUUCCAGAAGCUUGUUCAAGUUUUAUUUCCCAUUCUUAGAAAAAUACAGAAGAUAAAGCUGGGUAUAGUGGCACAUACUUGAAGUCCCAGCUGUUUGGGAGGCUGAGGCAGGAGGAUCGCUUGAGUGUGUGAGUUCAAGGCUGCAGUGAGGUAUGAUGGUGAUACUGUACUCCAGCCUGAGCAACAGAGCAAGACAGGAAUCUCAAAAACAAACAAACAAAAAAGAUUAGACUUUAUGGGAUGACACAAAGAAAAUCAUCAUCCCAUCUUCAAUUAAUGUUGAACACUGUCUUAAAUAGUGCAGAAUGAAUGAAUUUUAUGGGAGGCAGUGUUUCCUAGUUUGAAAGUCUGAUUAUUUUCUGUCCUAAAGGAACAUGUUAGAGGGGGUCUCCAGAGUUGCUGAAACCCUUACUCCAUAUAUUGCAAGAAAACUCCUCGAGUGUAGAUUCUGUGUCUGAUGAGUAUCUCUCUGCAGCACACAGCCAAGGGCCUGGACCAUAGAAAAUAUCCAGAACUGAGGACUUCUCCUGCCAAGCCCAGGGAGUCUGAAUGUGAGUCCAAGGCUGGCAGCUUUGCAUGACUUCAACCAUCACACAUAUAUUGUGAGAGAGAAAAUGAGGCUUUGUGUCUCUUAUGCCUCUGAUUUUUAGAAACGGGUCUGGGCAGUGUCAAAGAGUAAAACAGCCUUUGCGCCUCUUAACCACAGGUGUUUGCCUUGGCCUCAAUUAACACUGCACUGAAUCACGCAACUGAGAGUUUGCAGUCACUGGGCUAGACUCCCAGAGACCGCACUCAGGCUGUCCUCAGGCCGCGUGAAAGCCUAGAGAUAUCUUGGUCAGCAGCUUCGCUGGGACCCCAAACUCGAGAAGGGGAAUCAAGCAAGGCACUUUGGCAUCACCAGUGUGAAGAAUCUCUAGCAGGGGAGGCAACAGAGGUAGCAACAUUGUGGCCACGGUUGUGUAGAGUGCAUUGAAUCCAGCACACUGGCACAUACAUGCUUAAACCACACACUUGUGUGCGUGUCCCUGCACCAGGGGCAAAGCUCAUCCCUAGUUUAUGAGUAGUGCCUGACAACUGGCCCCUGUCCUGGGCCAGUCCCAAGCCCGUACGGGCAACAGGGCACGUGUUUUUGAGCCUCUCUCCCACCUUUCAGCCCUCUCCAGGUGUCUUUGGGAAGGAUUCUUGGAGCUUCCCCCUGUCGAACUCGUCUAGGAUCUCCAUGGGCGAGGGCGGCUGGCGGCUGGCGAGCCUGGGCGGCCUGAGAGCGGAGCAGGCUCUGGGUGGGGCUCCCGAGGGUCUUGGCCCGCUGACCGCCACCCACCCUGAGGCCGGAGGGGGGCGGGGGUCACCAAAGGCGGCGGGCCCGUCGUGCGGGGCUGCACGGAUGCACCCUCUCUCCCCUAUUUUUUUUCAUUGGCCGGUUAUUUGCAUAUUUCAAUAAUCUUUGCAGACAUUCCAUUGACAGCAGUAUGUCAAUCAUACAGGUAGAUCAAUGAAGACCUAGGUCAACAAUAGAUGUCCAUAUAAACGUCUGAAAUAGCAAAAGUUGCUGCUUAUAAUGUUUGCAUUCAUGUUGUGGUAGAAAGUCCAUUAACCAGAAUAAUUUUUCAGAAAACUUCCAUAUAUUAAAUUGGAUGGAUUAUUUAAGGAGUGCUAAACGUUUUUUAAAAUAAUAGAAUACAAUAAUAUGUAUCUAUAUAACCACAGCUUGGGAGAGUCUUUUCCAUGCAUGAAGCAAAUGAAGAAAUCUUAAAGAAAAAUCUUGGUUAAUUCUAUCCCACAAAACUGCUAAAAGUUAUAAAAGCUUAAUUUAUGGUGAGAAAAAUACCAAAAAUAUUAAAUUUAUAUUUUCUGUUCUAUUGAAGCAAUUAGAACAAAUGCAAUUUUAAAAUAUUUUAACCAAUUUAUAAGAGUAUAAACUCUUGAACUGAUUAAGAAUGGAUCAUAAAAUAAAUUUACAUUCAUGAUAUAGUUUUAGAGUGAGAAUGUAAAAUGAGAUAUUGAAGGCAUGUUUUCUAAUAAUGAACCUCAAUGAGGCUUCAGAGAGUGAAAUAAUAUCCUUUGGAUUAAUGUUUAAUCGAAACUAAUAUUUACUGCUCUAGUGCAUUCAAGAGAGCCUGUUACUAGGUUUUUGAAUGUAUGAUUGUGUUUCAGAACCAAUUUAAAAUAACUAGAUGAGUGACUUUAGAGAAAAUGACAAUAAGGUUGUAUAGAAAUAGAUAUUUCUUUGGAGGUUUUACUUUAGAAAAUUUGAAAAAGUAAUUUUUAUUCUGCCACAGUUGUGUGUUCCUCUCUGCAUAUAAAAUGGUAUUUCCUCACUUAUAAACCCCAAACUCUUCUACAGUGAAGGUAAUACACGUUUAGAAGGAACACUGGGAUGUGCUUAAAAUACUCCCUUGAGAUGCUGGUUGCUUUACAGAGGGCAGUUCUCUGCCUCGUUGAAUGGUGGAUUCACUGGUUGGAGUGCGUGUUUUCUUUUUUGAUAGACACAAAACCCACAUACUUUGAAAAUCUUCUGUGUUAAAUGUUCUGUUCAAAUAAGAGACUUAUCCCAGAAACAAGAGGGUCCUGGCCACAGCCAUUCAUUACAUAAAAAGGAAAAGAAAGUAGACAUUUUAGGUACCUUUAUCCUUGCUUCCUAAUUGGCCGCCUAGGCUUGCCAGGUACGGCAGAAAGAUAAUCAGACUUUCUUUUUACAGGAUAUUAAAGAUGAGAAAGGCCUUGGAGAUGAUCAAAUCCAAUCCCUUUAUUUUCUAAAGAAACUGUGGCUCAGAAUAAUUGACCUGACAGAUAGAAACUGAUGGAAAAUUUUAGUUCUGUUACUUACUUGCUGUGAGACCAUUUUGAAAAUAGACAUCAUAUCCUGUUUUAAUUACCCUAGACUUCAGAAAUAAGCAUUCCAAGAUAAACCUAUCUGUAUCUGGGGGAAUAAAAAAUCCUUUUCAAAAUAAUGCAAGUGCUGGCAUUAAGCUAGUCAAAGAUAAAGACUGUUAUUACCAACAAAUAUUUAUUGCAUGCCUUCUGUCUGCUGCUGAAUUAGGCAGCAUGGGCUAGAAAAAUAUUUUGAAGCCAGUCAAGUGGUAAUUUCUAUAACCUCCUAGCUCUAAAAUGUAAUUUGGGGUGUUACUCAACCUCUCUGGACCUCAGUUUCCUCCUCUGUAAUAUAUGAAUGAAGUAUAUUUUUAGAAUUAUUGUAAGGAUAGAAAGAGACAAUCUAUGGAAAACAACCUACCAUAAAGGACACUCAAUGGAUACUAGUUCUCUUCUGUGGCUAAGAGUUAACAAACAAAAAUAUGCCUCUUCCUCUACAGGCACAUUUGGCACUGUCUUUGGGUCAACUUUCUCUGUUCUGCUGGGAUAUCUGAUAGAGUUGGGAUGUCAGCUGUUACUAGGUAACAUUGUUUAUAAUGAAAGUGACCCCUAACUGGGGAAUUGUAUCCAACUAAAAGGAGGUACAAAGGAAUGAGGUGUAUCCCAUACUGGUGACUCGUAUAAUGGGAGAUACAUGGCCUUUUCAGGGACCCUGGAGGCUAAACUAGGAAGUGUUCCAGAAAAUAUUGGUUCCUAGUUGGAAUGUGGAGCUCCUGUACUUGUCUGGGCUAGUUUUCUUUCCUCACACCUAAGGAGAGCUUCAAAGGCAUAGCCCUUAACCAGAGAUGUUGACUUCUGUAAGGAUCCUUCUUACUAAAAAGAAAAGGCUGACGCUGUUCUGUUGGCGUGCUGUGUGUUUCGUGGCUGAUAUCCUUUCAAGAGCCAGGCCUAGUCCAUAGCAGUCAUGCAAGUCUAUUUUCUUGAGCCCAAAAAGACCCCAGGUUGGGCACUGCAUUUUCCUAAAGACACUAAAGGGGAUGCAAAGAAGAAUAAGACUUGGAAUGCAGCUAAUGGUUUCUAAUCUAUUGGUGAAAUGGUGGCAUGCACAUGAUUUAACUAUAUGACAAGCCAGAGAGUGGUAUUUGAGAAAUAAAACAAACUAAAAAAGGUCAUAGGAACAGAAAUAGGAAAGAAAUGGCUUUUGGCUUAAGGAAAUAGAUAAUUUGUCUUUCAGGGAUAGCAUUCAAGCCUAGGUAGGAAUGGCACAGUUACAAGGCAGAGCAUUUCAUGUAGAGGUUGCACUGGGCAGAGUCAAGGCCAAUGGACAGAAACUGGGGGAGAUUGAGUUUGGGGAGGAGUCAUGAUAGAUGGGUGGCAGAGCAUGGAGGACCAAGAUGACCAUUUUAUUAUGUAAAUAAUAAGAAACUGUUAGUCUCUAAACAGUGGCAUACAAUUACCCAGAGAGAAAGAAGAUACCAAUAAAUCAUGACAGGAGAAAAGUAAUGGAAGUUUCCUUUUUUCCCCCCACCCUGAUAUGGAGUUUUGCUCUUAUGCCCAGGCUGGAGUGAAGUGGCGCAGUCUGGUCUCACUGCAACCUCUGCCUCCCAUGUUCAAGCAAUUCUCCUGCCUCAGCCUCUGGAGUAGCUAGGAUUACAGGCAUCCACCAACACACCCGGCUAAUUUUUUGUAUUUUUAGUAGAGACUGGGUUUCGCCAUGUUGACCAGGCUGGUUUCAAACUCUUGACCUCAGGCAAUCCACCUGCCUCGGCCUCCCAAAGUGCUAGACUUACAGGCAUGAACCACCGCUUCCAGCCAGAAGCUUCUUAAUAAGGUAGGAGAAAGACCUCCUGCUGGUAUAAGAGGGUCAAAUAUGGCUUGAAGAAAGCAGAAUACUGAGACCAGCAAGAAUAGGUAUUGAACUAGCCAACUGGCUAUAAAUAAAAGAGAUCAAGUGGAAGUGUGAUGUUAUAAAGUUGCAGUGAAACCCAUGGUCUCAGUCACAAUGCUUUCUAAAAGCAGUUGCUUUUAAAAGCAUUUUUAACCUGUAAAUACACUGUAUAUCACCACUCAUUCAUAUAUAAUAUGUUUCCCAGAUGAGUAACAAAAAUUGUUAUAUAUAACAAAUAUUUCCCCAAAGAGCUUUCAGCCCCACUUCAUGUAAUGUAGCCUACAUUCUAUUGGCAUUUUGUGAAUGCAUCUUCCAACCCAGUAAAUUAAUUUUAAAACCUGGGUGUUAAAUUCUAUCUGAAAAUCGGCGUUCUGCAGUAAUGGUUACCAGCUGCAAGUGGAGAAAGCAGAAGUCAGAUUUACUCAGAACCAAGGAGUGACAUGGUAGUCACUGGAAAGUCAAAGAAGGAAGCAACUGUGGGGUGUCAGUAAGAACACAAUUGAAGCAUCUGAUGGUGGGCAGGGAGGCAAAUAAAGUAAGAAGUAGGCCUAAGAAUUAAGCGGCACUAAAACAUGAAUAAGAAAUUUAUAUUUGGAGUUAUGGAAAUCUUGGUUCAAAUCCCAACUCUCUCCAGCUCUGAGCUGGACAAGAUUAAGUUGUUGUGAAGAUGCAAUGAGAUCGUUUUAAAGAGCUUAGAGCAGUCCCUGGCAAAUAGGAAACGUUCAUUCAUUUAAUGCUAGCUGCUUGAUGGUGGUAAUAAGAGUAGGCUCAGUUGACAGAAGACAAUAGGAAAAGUAACACAUAAAGAUGUCACCAGAAGACAAAGCUCUGGAUUUAAGAUUUGGAAGUUGGAAAAACUCUUGGAAGCUUAGCAAAAUUGUAUAUAACCAGGCCCAUAUGAAAUGGAGUGCUGUUGCAAGUUACUGUGCUGAGGAAGUUGAGGCUCUAAGACGAAAAUGUUGGCAAAUGGCUUGGAUUUGGAAUAAUGAAGAAGAGAGGCCAAGAGCCAAUCCUAAAGUAAUGACAGGAAGUUGGUGGGUGUCCCAGAGAGAGGUCACUUCUGGUAAGGAGCAUAGGGAGAGAAUGGAGGCAGAGGAGUCCUGUAAACUAAAAUCCAGUGAUUUGGGAAUAAAAUGAGCCUCCCAGUUUGUUUGAAUAAAGUACUUGAAUCCAAACCAACAUUUUCUUGCUCCCAAUGCAUAUAUCAGGAUAAAACAUUUUGACACAUCGUAAAAUGCAUAUAAUUCAUAGAUACAAUACUUUACACAAGAAUGUAACACAUCAUAUUGUUCAGAUACUCAUAUGCCUAGUGCUAGGCAUUCAAAAAUAUUUGUUGAAUAAAUGAAAACUCCCAGCUCUGCCACUUACUUAAUUAACCACAAAAAAAAUUGUGUCGUCAGUAAAAUGGAUAUGGUGAUACGCACCUCGUGGAGUGAGAUAAUAUACAUGAAGUACCCAGAACAUAUUAAGCAUUUGAUAAAUAAUAGCUGUUAUUGUUGUUUUAAGUAUGUGUCAAACAUAGUUGUAAAUGCUUUAUAAGAAUUUAAAAUUUAUACCACAGAAAACAUUUUCUAUGUCCUGUGAGAAAUAUGUAUGUUUUGUAUUUUAAAGAGAAAAAUGUGUUUAAAUAACCAGUCAAGUGUCUGAUACACAUCAUCUUGACUGUAUAUUAGAUUAAUUCAUCUAUAAUUAAUAUGUUAGUCAUUUCCAAGACCAAUGUAGUUGUCUACCACUUCCUAGCACACCUGGGCUGCACAAAUAUGUGGGUCUGAUAUAAUGUCAGAAAUGCAGGAAGCUAUAUGAGAUUCCAGCCCUCUAUUUUUCCAAGUAUAAAAGAACUUAUGAAUCAAGAGCCGAAUAAAAAACAUAGUACUCUUUCUGAUAAUCUGUCAACAAGUUUGCAACCAUGUCAGGCAUGUUAUGUGAUUACGAAUUGCUCAAUGCUAUUAUGAAAAGUAUUUUCAACAAGUGAAACUUCUGGAGUUCUCUGCAGUUCUGGGAUCAAACCUCAGUGCCUUGUCCUAACGUCCCAUUAGGACAGAAGUGCCCUUCCUGAGAGUGUGGCAGCAUAAUGACAUUCUAGCACCUGGACCGAUUACACUGCUCUCCCUGAAGUAGUGGAUUCUUUCAUCAGCAGGAGAGAGAAGGGUGAAUUGUAUAAAGUGGAGCCUGACAGUGUGUAUUUUAUUCUUUAAAAUAAAAAAAUUAGGAACAUAAAAA